rnacentral:rRNA from 1 species
UACGUAGGGCCAAGCGUUGUCCGGAUUUACUGGGCGUAAAGAGCGCGCAGGCGGUCGUUCAAGUCGAGUGUGAAAGCCCCCGGCUCAACCUGGGGACGCCACUCGAUACUGCUGUGGCUAGAGUCCAGUAGAGGAGUGUGGAAUUCCCGGUGUAGCGGUGAAAUGCGCAGAUAUCGGGAGGAACACCAACGGCGAAGGCAGCACUCUGGGCUGGAACGUGACGCUGAGGAGCGAAAGCGAUGGGUAGCU